rnacentral:tRNA from 1 species
UGGGACGUCGUCAAGUGGCAAGACACUGGCUUUUGAUGCCAGCAUUCGGAGGUUCGAAUCCUCCCGUCCCAGCCA